AGUGAACGCUGGCGGUAGGCCUAACACAUGCAAGUCGAACGGCAGCACAGUAAGAGCUUGCUCUUACGGGUGGCGAGUGGCGGACGGGUGAGGAAUACAUCGGAAUCUACUUUUUCGUGGGGGAUAACGUAGGGAAACUUACGCUAAUACCGCAUACGACCUACGGGUGAAAGCAGGGGAUCUUCGGACCUUGCGCGAUUGAAUGAGCCGAUGUCGGAUUAGCUAGUUGGCGGGGUAAAGGCCCACCAAGGCGACGAUCCGUAGCUGGUCUGAGAGGAUGAUCAGCCACACUGGAACUGAGACACGGUCCAGACUCCUACGGGAGGCAGCAGUGGGGAAUAUUGGACAAUGGGCGCAAGCCUGAUCCAGCAAUACCGCGUGGGUGAAGAAGGUCUUCGGGUUGUAAAGCCCUUUUGUUGGGAAAGAAAAGCAGCAGGUUAAUACCCCGAUGUUCUGACGGUACCCAAAGAAUAAGCACCGGCUAACUUCGUG
rnacentral:rRNA from 1 species